CAGGAAUCAUUCCGCCACAAGCGAACGAGCCUGGGCUGGCCUUGUGGAAGCCUAGCCGAGGCCUCAGAAUAUGGAUGAGAUCAUCUGAGACCAUCCACCCCAGGAAGCCAGCAAAGUGGCUAGAACCCGCCAUACCACCGCAGAAUCACGAUUGCUGUUCUGAGUCACUACAUUUCAGGUGACUUGUUGAGCAGCAAACGAGCUGACGAACCUAAAGUCAGAAGAUGCUAGCGGAAGAAACAGGACCCAGAACUCCAUUGGAAAAUGGGGUAUACAGACUUCGAGGAUGCCAGACAAAAAGAUCAUUUGAAAUAUUGUUGUCACUAAGCCUUCUUUGAUCAAGACACCAUGAGCUCAUGGAACUGGUCCUCUGAAGACAGUGUCUGCAAUGAAGCUGAGUCCUCUCUCUCUCCCAGGCCCGAGUGUCUACCUCUAAUUUAUUCCUGAUGAAUGACAGCAAGUUCACAGCCUCAGGCUAAUGGAAGCACGACAGUGAGCAAGACAGACAAGGUCACUACCCGCAAGGAGCUGUUGAUGGAGAAUAACAUGCAAAGAAGAAGGCAGGAUUGAGCUUUCAGCUGCUCUGUAGAUUCUCAUCAGAGGUGCAGACUCUUCUUUGUGGAUCAUACCUACAUUUUAUUUUUCCUGAAAAUAUAGUAUGUAUUCAGGGCACACAGGCAUCUUCUAUUCACUUCAUCAUCAACACUUGUCAAACAAAAACUGCUAUUCAUGCUACAGACUCAUGCAGCUCCCUGCAUUUUGAAAGAAUUGCCUCCCUCUUCUGAGCCUGGCUCAAGAAUUUAUGAAUUUCUCAUCACAUCAGUAGUAAUUCUGAGAUGGAUUUAGGAGUGAGAAGUGUCAGCAUCAUCAACUCCAAAGACAGCUUUAUACAAGAUUAGCAUCUUCAACAAGAAUGUCAGAGGCAUGAAAAUGAGGAAAAUGUAAUCACAAUCACUCACUAUGAAUUUCCUGGGACAAAAUUAAACUUAAAUGGCAACAAAAGGUGAACUUGGUUAAAAUGAUUGAUGGACAGUUCUUCCUUGCUAAAUUUCAUUCAAAAUAGCAUAGGUCAUAUCCAAGUAUGUUCUCAUCAAAGAGUGGAUUGCGUUCUGGUCUUGGUCUUGGGUCUGCUGCUUAAUCCAUGUGGGAACUUAGUCAAGUGAAACUAACUUUUUCCUUCCUCAGUGGACUCAACUGUAAAAUGGGUAGAAUAACAGUACUUGUUAGGAUGUCAUCUAAGUGAAAUAGUACUUACAUUUAAUUGUAAGAAUUAAAUGACAUGGUAUGAGUGAAGCACUCAGCACAGAGCCUGGGAGUAGUGAGCACCAUCAUAUAUAUUAACCAUUAUUGUAGUACCUGGAAACUGUGUUUUACUUGAACAGCUGUGUUUUUCUUGUUACUUAUCUACAAUUGACCACACUGGAUAUUUGUUUUGAGCCAUAAUGAGGAUGAAGUGGAAAGAUAAACCCAUUUAUCCCUCCUAUUAUAAUUGUAAAGAGUCAUUUUUAGUGAACUUCAAUUAUAAACUCAGGGACAAGAAUAUUCUUUAUGAGAGCAAAGAAAGAGAGCAGAGGCUGCAAAGAAUUGUGUCCCACUUAGACAUUCCCUCGCAAGCCCCAGAACAAAAGAAAAUUGGUCGCAAACAACAAUUCUUUUAGCCACCUGGAUCAUGUCUGGCCAGGAUAGAAGAAAACGGUUCUUGUUUCACUAAUGGAAUU
rnacentral:lncRNA from 1 species